CAUGAGCUCAAGGCGAUCCAUCCGCCCCAACCUCCCAAAGAGCUGGGUUACAGGCAUAAGUCACCACACCCAGCCAUAAAUGAUAGGUAUUUCUUAUGCUGUAAGCUAUGCAAAAUUAAAAACUCGUAACCUUCUAUCAGUUCCCUUUUUUUCCUUUAACAUCUUGGUCUUUAAAACAAAAUUUAAAAAAGAAAGAAAGAAAGAAAGAAAACUGUUGCCUUAGUCCUUGAGAGUCAGUGGCUCAAAAUGUAUCCCGUUUAUCUUUACAUAAACUUACUGCAAGUGAAGAAUCUGAAUUCAAACUUCUUGGAUGUUAUUUUGGUCUUCAUUUAAACUAUGUGAGUAUAAAUAACAGAAUGCACAGUAUCCUCCAGAAAACAGGUUAUCUUCAUUUCAUUUUACAAAUGGUUGUCCAUAAGAUAGUUCUAGAAUUGUUAGAAUUGUUGUUGUUAUUGUUGUUGUUAAGGGAUUCUGCACUGCUUUCAGUUUUAUUAAAUAUCCACAGAAUGUUAAUAGAUAAAACUAAUUUUUUUUUUUUUAGAGAAGGAGUCUUGUUCUGCUGCCCAGGCUGGAGUGCAGUGAGCCGAGAUCUUGCCAUUGCACUCCAGCCGGGGCAACAAGAGCAAAACUCCAUCUAAAAAAAAAAAAUAGUCCUAGCCCUCAGGAAACUGACAUGGUAUGUAGGUUUGGACCAGACCUAAAUAAAAUAGCUUCAGUUAACUAUUAAAUUAUAAUUUAGGAACCAGAAGGAACUUAUUUAUAACAAAAACUUUGAAUUGCCAGAAUUUUUACAGAUUUUAGCAGAGCAGAGUAAAUUAAUAACAUCUGAUUGCAUGUUUCCUUUUCAUUUUCCAUAAAGAAAAGCCUUAAAUCAAGCCAUUUUUUUUUCCAGAGGGUAAUGUACUAGGGCUACAAAUAAAUUCAUUUAGCCCAAUAAAGGUAGUCUUAACAGUAGCCAGAGUCAUCUGGGACCAUUGUAGCAUCUUAAACACAGAUUCUAAGAAAUGUUUAGAAACUAUAAAGAACAAAAUAGUUAUGUCUUCAUCUGCUGAAGGAAUUCUAAUUUGCACAUGAAUAAGACACACAGCCCCUUUGACUAACCUGAUGAAGAUAAAACAGUGUCCUGAGUCAAGGUGAAGCUCUUUAAGAUGGGAAAAAAAUGCAAAUUUGAUAUUGAGGCCAUGGCAGGAGAAUCACUUGAACCUGGGAGGCAGAGGUUGCAGUGAGCCGAGAUCGUGCCACUGCACUCCAGCCUGGGCCACAGAGCGAGACUUUGUCUCAAAAACAAAAGAUACUGGGGCCAUAGGAGGAAUGUGAUAAACCAGAUGGUAGAGGAGAAAUGCCAUUAUGUGCAAGAAUAAAUGUAGAGUGCAAAAUGCUCUGGGUGUUGAUAAAAGGCAAUUACAGUAAAAGCCUUUCUAAGUAAAAAGGUCCAUUGUAAAAUCUGGCGGCCACAUAGCCUAGUGGUUAGGAAUAUAAGCCCAGGAAUUGCACUAGAUUUGAAUCCUGGUUCUACCACUAACUAGACAUGCGACACUGGCAAGUUAUGUAGUCUAUCUGAGUUUUGGUUUCUUUUUCACUAAAAUAAGGAAAUCUAUAAAAAUAUAUCUCAGCCAGGGGCAGUGGCUCACGCCUGUAACCCCAACACUUUGUGAGGCCAAGGUGGGCGGAUCACAAGGUCAGGAGUUUGAGACCAGCCUGGCCAACAUGGUGAAACCCUGUCUCUACUAAAAAUACAAAAAAUAGCUGGACGUGGUGGCAGGCACCUGUAACCCCAGCUGCUCGGGAGGCUAAGGCAGGAGAAUUGUUUGAACCCGGGAGGCAGAGGUUGCAGUGAGCCGAGAUUGCACCAUUGCACUCCAGCCUGGGUGACAGAGCGAGACUCCGUCUC
rnacentral:lncRNA from 1 species